rnacentral:rRNA from 1 species
GACGAACGCUGGCGGCGUGCCUAAUACAUGCAAGUAGAACGCACAGUUUAUACCGUAGCUUGCUACACCAUAGACUGUGAGUUGCGAACGGGUGAGUAACGCGUAGGUAACCUGCCUGGUAGCGGGGGAUAACUAUUGGAAACGAUAGCUAAUACCGCAUAAUAUUAAUUAUUGCAUGAUAAUUAAUUGAAGGGUGCAAUUGCACCACUACCAGAUGGACCUGCGUUGUAUUAGCUAGUAGGUGAGGUAACGGCUCACCUAGGCGACGAUACAUAGCCGACCUGAGAGGGUGAUCGGCCAAACUGGGACUGAGACACGGCCCAGACUCCUACGGGAGGCAGCAGUAGGGAAUCUUCGGCAAUGGACGAAAGUCUGACCGAGCAACGCCGCGUGAGUGAAGAAGGUUUUCGGAUCGUAAAGCUCUGUUGUAAGAGAAGAACGGGUGUGAGAGUGGAAAGUUCACACUGUGACGGUAUCUUACCAGAAAGGGACGGCUAACUACGUG